AAUAAAGAACCCUCCAAUGGUGUCAUCUGCAAACAAGCGUUAAAAGCGUACCCAUGCAGAGCUUGAAAUUUGUUCUCAUCUCCCCAAAACUUUUCUCUCCUUUGCUUUUCUCUUUCUUCUCUCUACUUUUCCUUAACCCUUAAGUCUUCUCUGCUUCUUCUUCUUCUUCUUAUUCUUUAAAACCCAAAAAUAAUCACCAACAGAUCCUCUCUUUCCUCUUCAAUGGAAGAUACAAACUCCUACACCAAAUAUCAACAGCAAAACCAAGCAACUAUCCCAACUAAGUUUUACUCUCAUUUCCUCUGCAAAGCUCUUAUAGUGACCAUAUUCUUAGUCAUACUGCCACUUUUCCCUUCACAAGCUCCUGAAUUCAUAAACCAAACACUAAACACUAGAGGCUGGGAGUUUCUCCACCUUAUUUUUGUUGGUAUAGCUGUUUCUUAUGGCCUGUUUAGCCGUAGGAAUGAUGAAGCAGAAAAAGAUAAUAACAACCUCUCAAAAUUUGAUAAUGCUCAAUCCUAUGUCUCUAGAUUCCUUCAGGUUUCUUCAGUUUUCGAUGAUGAAGCUGAUAGCCCUUCCAGGUCUGAUGGGAGCACCGUCCAAACAUGGAAUAAUCAGUACUACAGGAAUGACCCUGUGGUUGUUGUAGCUGACGAAAAUUCUGUUCUUGAUCAAGAACGGAGAGCUACCAGUUCAAGAGUCGGUGAAAAACCACUUUUGUUGCCUGUUAGGAGCUUAAAAUCGCGUGUUUUCGAAACAGAUGGUAAUGAAACUAGUAAAGAAUCUUCUUCUACUGGUGUUUCUGCUUCUAUUAGUAGGUCUAGUUCUAAUUUGGGUUCUAAAAGAAUUUCGAGCAAUUCAGUUAAAAGCAGAAAUGGGGAAUUUGGUGGAUCCCAUCAUCAAGAUUUGGAGGAAAUGCUGAAGGAUAAUAUGGUCCUUCUCUCUCCAAUUCCAUGGAAAUCAAGAUCUGGAAGGAUGGAAAUGAAGGAAACAAAAGAAGAAGCCGACAGUCCUGAUCUGUAUACUCUGCCUCCGUCCAUGGAAGAAUCUGAAUUCAACAGGUCUUUCAGGGCCCAAGUGUCUCGAUCACCCCGGCCCGAUUCAACAAAUUCUUCCCCCAAACUGUCCCCCUCACCAUCAAUAUCUUCACCAAGGAAGCUUUCACCACAGCCCAAUUCAACAAAUUCUUCCCCAAAACUGUCCCCCUCACCUUCAAUAUCUUCACCAAAGAAGCUUUCACCUUCACCUUCUUUCCCAGCCGAGGCACAAGGCAGAAGCGCAGAGGAUUUUGUCAGGAAGAAGAGCUUCUACAGGUCUCCUCCACCCCCUCCUCCACCACCACCACCACCAUCGCAAGUGAUUCGAAAAUCACAGUCAAUGAAACCGAGUUCCAGUGCCAUUAAUGAUUUGAGGCGAAGUUAUACAAGCGAGCCAAAAGAAUUGAAUAGAGGUGGUGGCUUAUCAAUUCCAACAUCAGUGAGGACAACAAGAAACAGUGAUUCCCUUUUUGGGAAAGAAUUUGAUGAUAUGAUCAACACCAAGGCAGAGAAAAGAUUCAAGGAAGUUGAUGCAGGUAUAAUGGAGAGAGGAGGAAGAAAGAUGGUAGGGUUUGAUCAAUCAUCAUUCAAGACCGAGAGGCUGAACCGUGAAAGAGUCACUUUUAUGCUACAGCCAACUUUCAGGGAAUAUCCGAAGGAAGAGAAAGAAGAUUUCGUGGAAAAAUUGGUGUUGGAAUCAGAUGAGGAUUUGGAGACUGAGGACGAAGAUGACGAUGACAUCUUGGGAAGUUGUUUUGUUUCAGGCACUGCAGCAAGUUCAAACAAUGAUCAAGCUGCUUCUUGCACUGCAAGUGAUGGAGGACCCGAUGUUGACAAGAAAGCUGAUGAGUUCAUAGCCAAAUUCAGAGAGCAAAUCAGGCUGCAACGGAUAGAGUCUAUCAAGAGAUCGAGUGGACAAAUAAGUAGAAAGGCUUCAAGGUAAUCUUAACAGGAUGGAUUAAUUUGGAUUGGUGAUCAGAAAACUUUUGUUUAUCUUAUUUUAUGCUUAUAGUUUUACUUGGUAUCAAGAAUCUUAGGACAUAAUUUCACAGGGUACAAGAAUUGCUUGGUAUACAAUGUUUUCUUCUUCUUGUGGGUGGCAUUUGUUAAAAUGAAUAGAUGUGGUUUCUCAAGAAUGUUUCGUAGAAUCCACUUGAUUUAUUGUUUUGACAGUCAUGGAAAAUGCCUCUCAAAAAUUAAAUAUAUUCCUGGUUCAAGCUUACGAGUGGUUAUUAGGAGCUAGCAGAUCGAGUCUGUAACAAAUUAAUCUAAAACUACAUCCUCACCUUCAGCUGCUAAACUUGC
rnacentral:misc_RNA from 1 species